rnacentral:rRNA from 1 species
UACGUAGGGGGCGAGCGUUGUCCGGAGUUACUGGGCGUAAAGGGCGUGCAGGCGGUGCGGUAAGUUUAGCGUGACAGUCUCCGGCUUAACUGGAGAAGGCCGCUGAAAACUGCUGGACUUGAGGGCCAGAGAGGGACAUAGAAUUCCGGGUGGAGUGGUGAAAUGCGUAGAUAUCCGGAGGAAUACCAAAGGCGAAGGCAGUGUCCUGGCUGGCAACUGACGCUGAGGCGCGAAAGCUAGGGGGAGCGAACAGG